UUUGGGGAUGAAAGGAAGAUGAAUUCAAGCCGCAUGAACUCGAGCUAAGGCAGGAGGCCAGUAGCGUUUCUACAGAGCCUUGCCAGCUGCCACGCUGCCCGGUGCUCAUCAACACAGAUGGGAUCACCAUAGUGCCAGCUCAUUGUUAAGCGCUAGAAUCACAUGACCUCUGAAGAGUGCCUGACCACUACUGUGAGGGAAGUCCACGGACCCUGGAGGAAUCACCGUGGAAACCAUCAGUUCAAAGCUGACACUGAAUGGAACAAGUCCCUCAUCUCUGGACAGGUGACCUGUCAGUCUCCCCUGAAAGACAGGCAGACACUGUGAGACUAGAGACUCACCCAGCCAGCUCAAGGCACAGUGUAUGGUCGCUGACCUUCCCAGAGAGCUUUCAGGGGCACACCUAGUGGGAAGGCAGCCUUUAGUUCUCUCCAGCCUGGGAAGCUGAAUAAAUUACCUUUGACUCUUAGCUUUGCAGGGGGUAAAGUUCAAAGAGAAGUCACGCAGAAAGGCCCUGCAUCUUACACCCUCCCCUGGGACUGAGCUCCAAAAGCCCGGGAGGCCAACCAGAGGGGUUUCAAGCCUCUGAAAAGUGGAAUUUUGCAUCCCCAUCCCAGGAAAAAAAUGUCCCCAGAUACAACCCGUAUCCCUGGAACAGAAUCAGCUCCAAAUGAACAAGGAUGUUUCUAACUCUAUAACCUAGAAUCAGAAAGAGUAGAAAGAUUUAAAUCCUGAAACAAGGACAAGGCUUGGUGGAAUCAAGGACUGGUAACCAGGACUCAGGACCACAAAUCGUGAUGUUUUGGUUAAAGGACAAAUUGCACAGCCGGCUUUGGUCCGCGUCUCCCCCAGCAGCUCAGGGUGUAACAGAGUGGAUCGAAGGGUGGCAGGUGAGGAGGAAUCGGAAGGGACUGCCCCUGUCACUCAGUGCUUAUUUUCCUGAGAGCUGCCCUCAGCCUCCACCCACGCGCCCUCAGAACCAAGCAAGCUGAGGCCAAUCCAAGGAGUCAGGUACAGCUGAGGAGAAUACCAGCCUCUGCCCUGGCAGCACCUAACUGAACAUCAGGGAAGUUCGUGCAUUGUCUACUGUGUGGACUAUAUAAAGGACACCCAUGUACAGCAAGACUCCGAGAGUUUUUCAGGACUUGUCCAAAUGGAUGAAGAUACACAUUACAAUAAAGUUGACGAUGUUGUUGGAAGUCACGUAGAAGAUGCAGUAACAUUUUGGGCCCAGGUAAAUAGAA